CUACGGAGGGUGCAAGCGUUAUUCGGAAUCACUGGGCGUAAAGGGUGCGUAGGCGGUUUGAUAAGUCUGAUGUGAAAUCCUAUGGCUCAACCAUAGAACUGCAUUGGAAACUGUCAGACUAGAAUACUGAAGGGGCAGAUGGAAUUAGUGGUGUAGAGGUAAAAUCCGUAGAUAUCACUAGGAAUACCGAAAGCGAAAGCGAUCUGCUGGGAAGUUAUUGACGCUGAGGCACGAAAGCGUGGGGAGCAAACGGGAUUAGAAACCCUAGUAGUCC
rnacentral:rRNA from 1 species